rnacentral:rRNA from 1 species
CCUACGGGUGGCAGCAGUGGGGGAUAUUGCACAAUGGGGGAAACCCUGAUGCAGCGACGCCGCGUGGGUGAAGAAGUAUCUCGGUAUGUAAAGCUCUAGCAGCAUGGAAGAAAAUGACAGUACCUGACCAAGAAGCCCCGGCUAACUACGUGCCAGAAGCCGCGGUAAUACGUAUGGGGCAAGCGGUAUCCGGAUUUACUGGGUGUAAAGGGAGCGUAGACGGUUAUGUAAGUCUGGAGUGAAAGCCCGGGGCGCAACCCCGGGACUGCUUUGGAUACUGUGUAACUAGAGUACAGGAGGGGCAGGCGGAAUUCCUGGUGUAGCGGUGAAAUGCGUAGAUAUCAGGAGGAACACCGGCGGCGAAGGCGGGCUGCUGGACUGAAACUGACGUUGAGGCUCGAAAGCGUGGGGAGCAAACGGGAUUAGAUACCCCGGUAGUC